GACGUAGGGGGCGAGCGUUGUCCGGAAUUACUGGGCGUAAAGAGCACGUAGGCGGGUAUUUAAGUCAGGUGUGAAAGACCGCAGCCCAACUGCGGGGUUGCACUUGAAACUGGAUAUCUUGAGGGCAGGAGAGGUCAGUGGAAUUCCUGGUGUAGCGGUGAAAUGCGUAGAUAUCAGGAGGAACACCAGUGGCGAAGGCGGCUGACUGGACUGACCCUGACGCUGAGGUGCGAAAGCGUGGGGAGCAAACAGG
rnacentral:rRNA from 1 species